rnacentral:rRNA from 1 species
UACGAGGGGGGCAAGCGUUGUUCGGAAUUACUGGGCGUAAAGCGUGCGCAGGCGGUUCGCUAAGACAGAUGUGAAAUCCCCGGGCUUAACCUGGGAACUGCAUUUGUGACUGGCGGGCUAGAGUAUGGCAGAGGGGGGUAGAAUUCCACGUGUAGCAGUGAAAUGCGUAGAGAUGUGGAGGAAUACCGAUGGCGAAGGCAGCCCCCUGGGCCAAUACUGACGCUCAUGCACGAAAGCGUGGGGAGCAAACAGG